rnacentral:rRNA from 1 species
CCUACGGGAGGCAGCAGUGAGGAAUAUUGGUCAAUGGACGAGAGUCUGAACCAGUCAAGUAGCGUGAAGGAUGACUGCCCUAUGGGUUGUAAACUUCUUUUAUAUGGGAAUAAAAUGUUCCACGUGUGGGAUUUUGUAUGUACCAUAUGAAUAAGGAUCGGCUAACUCCGUGCCAGCAGCCGCGGUAAUACGGAGGAUCCGAGCGUUAUCCGGAUUUAUUGGGUUUAAAGGGAGCGUAGGUGGAUUGUUAAGUCAGUUGUGAAAUUUUGCGGCUCAACCGUAAAAUUGCAGUUGAAACUGGCAGUCUUGAGUACAGUAGAGGUGGGCGGAAUUCGAGGUGUAGCGGUGAAAUGCUUAGAUAUCACGAAGAACUCCGAUUGCGAAGGCAGCUCACUGGACUGCAACUGACACUGAGGCUCGAAAGUGUGGGUAUCAAACAGGAUUAGAUACCCUUGUAGUC